UACAGAGGUCCCAAGCGUUGUUCGGAUUUACUGGGCGUAAAGGGUGCGUAGGUGGUGAGGCAAGUUCGGUGUGAAAUCUCCGGGCUUAACCCGGAAAUGGCAUUGAAAACUGCCUUGCUAGAGGGUUGGAAGGGAGACUGGAAUUCUUGGUGUAGCAGUGAAAUGCGUAGAUAUCAAGAGGAACACCAGUGGCGAAGGCGAGUCUCUGGACAACACCUGACACUGAGGCACGAAAGCUAGGGGAGCAAACAGG
rnacentral:rRNA from 1 species